UGUGUCACUGUUUGUACAUGUGUCUUUAUACAGAUUCGUUGUCAAAAGCUGCUGGGCUGCUCAUCUGCUGACUGCACCUGAUGUUACUUGCGAGUUCUUACAGUCAUUUCUCAACAGACUCGAUAGCCACAGCAACCAAGUGUCGUUAGCAGUGUUAGCUAAUUCUGCCUCUUUCUCCAGGGCAUUCAUUACGACACAGAUUCCCAAACAGAUCCUUGCAACAUUUUAUUGCUUAAUUCUUUUUCUUGGUUUUGAUACAGAAAAAUAAGAGAUUUUCUGCUAGGUUAGGUCAAUCCAAGCAGCAGGCUCUGGGGAACUGUACUGUGGUAGUAGCUUGACCACCCUGAUCGUGACAUUGAUAGAACAGAAUGAGGCUCUGCAUAUCACUUAACUGCAGCACAAAGCCCUGCAAUUUACUUAAGGUGCUGAUGGAGGUAGGUUUACUCUUAUGAUGGACAGAUGAGCCCUGCAAGUCUUGCUGUGGUCACUUAAAGUAUCAUCACACCCAGCAUUACCCUGAGGGUUGCUCUGCCAGAAUUAGGGUGGUCUAACAUAGCUAUCAGAAAAGACCAUGUGCCCAUCCUUCAGCUGCCACAGUUAAUGUUUCACAUUUAGCUCAAAGCCACCUUCAGCAGCAGAGCAAAGGGCAGUAGCUUUCCACUGGUGUAAAGGGCUGUGGGUAUGAAUUGCUUUUUGCCAGUUCGCUCUCAUCAGGAGUAAAAUGUGCAGGUGGUAACACUUGAAAUCAGCACAGCAUUACUACUGAAGGAUGUUUCUGAAAGUGUUAAAAGACUGGUCUGUGCACUAGAUCAUCUCCAGUUUCCAGAUAUUUUCACUUCUGAUGGCUUUGUUCUGGUGAGAGUGGCCUCUGGAACAAGGACAAAGCAGACAAGUCAUAAUUUACAGUACAGCAGCAAGGUCCAGCAGAGUACUCUCCAAAAUACCUUAAAAUGAAGCCAGCAUAAUGCAGAACAUUGCAGCCAAGAUCUCUGGGAUCUUAGGGCCUGGGCUUAAAGCAUACUAACAUGUGUUUUGGGGGGAUUUUUUUGGUUGCAUUGAACUUGUCUAAAUUAAUUGAUUCUUUUUUCCUGAAAGGGAGGAGUUUUUGUCUGGAGACUGUAGAAAAUGUGCACACUCUUCUGGAGAUGGUCUUCCUAAAUGUGCAAUUACAAAAAUGCCUUCCUUUACCUAUUGAUUUUAGGAGAAGAAUGCACUUUCCUGUUUCCUUCCUUUUCCUUGAUUGCUGCUUCUCCUUCACCAUCUGCCCAGCUGUCACCUUUCUAGAUUGAAAGUGCUACAGGAUCUUCCCUUCAGACCUCAUCUGCUUCAUUUUUAAGCAUUUGCUAAAGUGGUUCAAGCAGUUCUUGGCAAGAGAUUACUCCCCAGCCGUGUGACUUGGUGGAUUUGUGGCACCUGUCUGUUGCUAUUUCAUCAUGUGUUGCAAACUUUGUCAUAUGAGAGUGGAAUUGCUGGUGGGAAGUAUGGGCUUUAUUAAUGAGUUCUAUUUCACAGCUAAUCCAUGUUUACUGAUUGACGUGCAUAUGUAUUUUAGUUUCACUUGUCCCGUCUUAUAUAUCUGUUGCUAUUUUCUGUCACACUCCUACCUUUUGCAUUUUAUGUACAGAUCCAGCUGGACUAGGAGUUAGCUGUUGCUGAAAGAGGCAAACUGUCUCCCCUGCCCCAGCUGUAUAGCAUAUGCUUACCACUUCCCUCUUGUGUCACUCAGUUGUUUAUUAUCAAGUAAUAUGUAAGAAACAAACCAAUUGAUUUAAUGUUAUUGGAUCUAAAAUUAAUCUGAAUAUUAAUUAUAAGAAUCCAGUAUAAUUCUCAUUAUAAGAACUUUUCUGUGAAGAAAUGUGGAACUUGAGAAAUUUUCUUCUAUAUUUUGGGCUUCCUAGCAUAGAAAGUACAGAUUCACUAACUGGUUUUACACAUCACAGAGCGACAGAGCCUGGAAGACCCCCUGGAGAUCAUCUAUUCUACCUUCUAGCUCAGAGGAGGGUCAGCUUGGGCAGUUGCGUUUUGAGUAUCUCCCAUGGAUGAAGACUUCACAACCCCUCUGGCUAGCCUGUGCUAGUGUUUGACCACCCUCACAGUUUUUUGUUCCUAAACAUCCCAAGAUAAAAUGAAGGAACUACAAAUGCCACAACACACACGAGAACACCUUCUGGAUAAAUGGGUUUGCUACUGUGUGCAUUUCACUGAGAUCUCUAUUGAGAGAACGAAACCCCUGUAAAGAUCAAAGCAAGUGUUUCAUUUUAGAUAGUGAAAGCAAUUCUUCAAAGUUUUGUUGUCCAAAUAAAGACCAAGGAAGUGCAAUAUUACAGUCAUAAAUAUGUAAGGUUAGUUUCCUGUAAGAAAUUAGUACCUGUAUCUUAGCUUAUUGAAUGCCAUAAUCCUGUUACAGCAUUACUUAUUGGAAGACUAUUCUCGUAUCAUAGAAUCAUUGAAUGGUUUGAUUUGGAAAGGACCUUAAGAUCAUCUAGUUCUGACCCCAGUGCCAUGGUCAGGGACACCACAAUUAAAGUUCAUGAUCUACCUGUGAAACUACUGUAAUUUGAUCUGAAUUUUCCUUUAAAAUGGUCUGGGAGCUAUAGUGUUAACAAAUGACAUCUUUCUUGUUGAGUUGAGGGAAGGUAAUGCAACUGAUAAUACUCCAUGCAGUGCUGUUGUCUGGCAACCUGAUAACUACAGGUAAAAAUUCUUAUUCCUGUAUGUACAUAGGUAUUACUAGUCUCCUUUCUGAACAAUCUUUGCUUACUGGCUGUGGCUAAUUAUUUCUUGUCCUAGAUCCAGAGGCCACCUCUGAAUGAGGAGCUAGAAAGAGUCAACACAGUUCAGAAAUCCCAUUUAUGUAAUGCUUUUCAAAUCCUUGUUAUGAUAUUCAGAAAAUAAAUGAUUAAUUUAUUUAAUUACUGUGGCUUGUCUCUUUUAUCAUAAUACUUGGGAUUAUUUUUUAUUGUUUGCAGGAUGAUUUGCUUUGAGAAUAGCUGAUUUCUUGGCUAAAUAUAAUUUUACUUUGUAUAUAGCUAGCUUAAUGGUUUUCACAAUCUGUAUUUUGAUAGCAUUAUGACAGUGCAGGUUAUAUUUAUGCCAGUUAACAAAUCAUAUAGUUUUCUGUGACUGAAAACAGACUGAGACAUGCCCAACCUGUUGUACUGCAUUCAUUCAGGUGACCUGCCCCAGAAGUUAUUUGACACAUCAGCAAAGGAGUAAUACUGAAAGCAACUGGAUCCAGGUUUUAUGAUGUCUCCUCCUGCCUAGCCCCUCUAAACAAAAUAUUUUUCUACAAAAAAGAACUAUCAGGCAAAACCUCAGAGAUGGUAUCUCCUGAGAGGGAUGUUGGAACUGACAAGAAGUUGCCAACUGCUAUUUAACUGUUAACCAGUAUGCCAGGUACCAUCUUUCUGAGUCACUAUCCCUGACCACCGCUGCAUUAACAUUCACAUUGGCCUGCUCUGGUCCAUAGGUA